AGAAUCAACGCUGGCGGCGUGCCUAACACAUGCAAGUCGCACGAGAAAGGGUAGCAAUACCUGAGUACAGUGGCGCACGGGUGAGUAACACGUGAAUGAUCUACCUCCGAGUGGGGAAUAACUGAGAGAAAUCUUAGCUAAUACCGCAUAAUACCCACGGGUCAAAGCAGCAAUGCGCUUGGAGAGGAGUUCGCGGCCGAUUAGUUAGUUGGCGGGGUAAUGGCCCACCAAGACGAUGAUCGGUAUCCGGCCUGAGAGGGCGCACGGACACACUGGAACUGAAACACGGUCCAGACUCCUACGGGAGGCAGCAGUGGGGAAUUUUGCGCAAUGGGGGAAACCCUGACGCAGCAACGCCGCGUGGAGGAUGAAGCCCCUUGGGGUGUAAACUCCUUUCGAUCGGGAAGAUAAUGACGGUACCGAUAUAAGAAGCCCCGGCUAACUUCGUGCCAGCAGCCGC
rnacentral:rRNA from 1 species